GGUGGAGGCGGGGGGGUUGGCUGGGUUGCAGGGUGGUAAUACGUAUAAAUAAAUUGCAACCCCCUUGCUAGCUGUAUCAGCAGAACAGCCAGGGACUGACUGACGGCCUUGGCAGCUCUCCAGCCUAGAAGUGGUCCAUCCCGCACACCGGAGGUACCUUGGCAUUGGGCACAGGGUGGGAGUAGCUGGCUUUGCUGCAGCUUGUGCCCGGUUCGAGAAUGUCCCACUCCCUCACUCAGCUGAGGUUUUAAAAGCCUGGCCAAACUGGGGUGCUGGAGAAGGGGUGUACCCUUGUCAUCUCAGGGCAAGCCACUGCCACGCCUGAUGUCAGCUGCGAGCAGAGGUCACGCUGUCUCUCUCAAGCCCUUGGAUCCAUGCAAAAUGGAGUUAACUGUGGAAAUGCCACCCCACUCCUCCGCCCUUCUUGACAGACAUUACCAAGUGCUGCUAGGUCCCGAACAGUGAUGGGCCUGUUGGCGCCUGCAUUCAGCCUGCCGGUGUAAAAUUCAGCCCGGCACAAUGCAGCUCUUGUGAAAGGCAGGCCUGCCUGGGGCCGCCAGCCACACCUCGAGGAAGCACAGAGCCGCGCGGCACGGGCUGGUGAGUGAGAUGAACUCACUAGCAGAAUCAACAUUAGCCAGAGAAGGGUUCUCUCCUCGGUGCCGUCUGCUGCUCCACCCCCAUCAUUUGUAUUUCAUGCUUCCCCAAUGCAGACGGCCUGGGAAGCCACUAAAAAUAGGCACUCGUGAGUAAGGGAGAGAAGGUUACAGGCUCUGGGGUAGUCUUGAGGCAGCUGCAUGUCACUGCUGCCACGAGAACACCCUGUCGUAGUGUCUCAGAUGGGCCCUGGCCCAAAGCAGGCAGCAGAGAGGCUGUGGAGAAGGGUGGAACAGGAAAUAACAGCCGUCACAGAGGAAGUGGUGAGAGCACAGGGCUGGGAGUCAGGAAUCCGAGGUGCUGUUCUUAGCUGUGCCAGUGACUCAGGACGUGGGGAAGGAGGCGGAGAAGUCCAAUGUUUUCCACUUCAUUCCGGCUGGCGGUUCCCACCUUUUCUAUUCCCCCCAACAGCUGUGGCUGCACGUGCCCUGUAUGAAGCCUGCACUGAACAGGGGCAGACGGUCUCCUGGGAGCCUGGUGUGAUGCUGCCCCAGGCUGCUAGAUGGCAGCAAAUGCUCCAGAGACUGAAAGCAGCUGGCUUCAUGCAGCUGCAAUAGGGAGAGCUGGUGAAAGUGGGUCUCACCCACCCAGACUUCACCCAACCCAGACUGCAAGGGGCAGGGAGAGAUAGGGAAGCGGGGGAGGCCUGUGGUCAGCCUGGAUCUUUACACACAUGAAUUCUAGGGUGAGGCCAGAUAGUCAAAGAGUCUGAGUCACAACUAGGUUAGUGAAGAAUAGGCCUGAAUUCUGUUUGCUGGCCCAUAGGGGGGUUUCUAUUGUCUCUGGACAGCCUCAGUGAGAUUCAGCCAAUGGUUUGCAAAUCCCAACAUUUCCCCUCAUUUUGUUGCAAAUGUUUGCCCGAAAAUUCAAACUGGAAUUUCAUGAUCUGUCCUCCUGUUUUAACUAGCUUCAGACAGCCAAUCAGAGAGCAGCAACACAACUAGGGACAGCGAGACGUUAAAUUACAAAGCUAUUCGUAAGGGAAAUUAUUUGAAGAAUAUUGUAACAAAGACAUUCUCAGCAACUGAGGUCAGAUUGCAAAUGGGUCUUCAGCCAAGGAAGGGGCUAAAUUCAUGAUGAAUUGUACUUGAAAUAAUAUUUUGAUUAGGUCUAAGUAAUUCUCCGAACCCCUGGUCUCCCACCCGCAAGGAGCAUGCUCACAAGUGUGCAUGUAUGUAGUUGUUUUACAGAUAGUGUCACUGAGACAUGGAGCUAGACUGCUUUGUUCAACACACAGGGAGAGAGAGGAGAGAAAUGAACCCAGGAAAAGGGCUGGUUGAAAAAUUUCCCUCAAAACUGUUUUUUUGAGCUGGGUGAAACCUUGUUAUUGGUCGUAUUAAAAAGCUUGUGUGAAUGCACCCUUCAGUUAACAUAAUGUAAGGCUAAAUUAAUCACAAGCCUUCGUCUAAAGCCAAAGGGUAACGUGAACCCACCCAGGGGUUUUGGAUUGUGUGGGUGGAAGUGCUUUGCUGAAUAUUGUUUUGGAAGAGAGAGAGAGAGCAAGGGAGAAAAAGGGUGAACUCCGAGGACCAGCGAGCCACAGACAGCCUGAAGGAGUAGCUGAAAUCAUGGUCUCUGACCCUGGAAGAAGCCUGGGGAGAGGGUUUUGGGGCAAAGGUGCAGGCUGCAAAGCGUGCCCCUGGAGCUGUGAGCAAAAGAAGCUGCUUCCUACUAUUGAUUCCUUCUGCGUUCAGAGGCACAGGACUUUGUACAUUCUUUGUAAAUAAAACUGCAUCCAAGAAAUACUUGACCAAUUCCUCUGCCUAACUGGAACAACCUACUACCCCUCACGUUUUUGGCUAGCCACAUGGCUCAAAAAGGGUAGUAUUGUGUUUUAAUAGGAAUUGGAUUGUCAACUAAAUGGCAUUUUGCAUGAAAAGUGCCGGCUUUCGAUGCAAAAUUGGAUUAUAAUUUUUUUUGGGUCAAAAAACCAAAUACCUAAAACGUGAAAUAUUUGGAUAUUCCACCACGGUGCCUCAUAUACCUCAUGACCCCAUUCUCCUCUCUGGGUCGGGCUCCUACAUCCCAUGACCCGGGACUUCCAUGAUACAACUGCCUUGCUCCACCAUGAGGAGACAUGGGGCAUCAUGGGAGAUGUAGUCUGACUAGGGAGCACAAUCUUAUUAGGAGCAGGAGACACCCAAACUACAACUCCUGUGAGGCACCAGGGCAGCAUUUCCAAAUCAGAAUAUUUAAAUUUUGAUUUUGUUGCUGAAAAGUUGAAAUUUGCCAUGGAAGAAAGUCCUUAUUCCCCCUAUUUCAGCCUAACCUUGAGGAACCAGGGUGCCUAAGACCCAGGGAACUGGAGCAGGCAGCCCAUUCUCUGCUAAUUUCUACGCUUCUCCUUAACCUUCCCUGCUUUUUUCUUAAGGCUGGUUAAUUUUUGUUAGUUGUCUCCCUCCUAUUGUGCCCUGCUGGUCUGUGCCUUGCAGAUGUCUGUCUGUGCGCUGCAGACCCAGGGUAAGUAUGCAGAGACUCCCCUUUCUCCUAACACCAUCGCAGAGCAUGCUAUAAUGCAGCAAAAUUAACAAAACUUUGUCAGCUGCAGACUUUUACUUUUCCUCACUUUGCAAGGCACCAGCAAGCCACCUUGAGGGAGCUCAAGGGACCCUCAGGAUGUCACUGAUCCAUCCGAACAUACACAAAUAGGGCAGCAGGCACAGGGUCACUCACGGGCAGAGGCUGGCCAGGAAGCAGCCACGUGGCUCUGAAGGCAUGAUCCCAGGCCCAUGAUCACAUGCUCGGCUGCCUGCCUGUCAGCACUGCCCUGGUGUGCCAAGAAAGCUUGUGGAUUUAGCAUGCCCAGGUAGACAGAGGGCAACUGCUGACUUUAGGUUUCAGUUCUCUGGGGAGGCAGGAGGGGUCCCCGCUCUGCGUCGUUAAGACUUGGCACAUUCGCGGUAAAAAAAAACCUUCUUGGCAUCUUUUGCUCCUGUGACGCGCGUAACCAGCCCUAGUGACAUGAUGCUGAAUUGUGCUGAGCCCAUAAUAAUGUGGAGGCCGUAACAGCACGUCUCAUCUGUAAAUCUAGAGCCUGCACUCCCUGGCUUCCUAUCACAGAGGCUUUUCUGCUGGGUUCUGGCUUGCUUGGCCUGUGUCGGGGGCUGCCAUGAUGAGAAUGGGCCUUCAGUCUGGUGGGAGGGAUUUAGCCUGGGCUGUAUGGUGAACGGGGAGAGGGAAGGCUGGCGGUUGGGGCUUGGGAAGCAGGGAGGCUGUGAAAAGAGGCACAGGCAAGUGGUUAGGGCUCCUUUGCAAAUCAGUUCCCAGUGUCUAGGCCAUAAGAGGAUAAACACCUGCACCUGUAACGGCCAGACAGCUGGGUCUGCUUGAUAGACACCCCCAGCCAGAGGUUCACAGUGCUCCCGAGUCGCUCUUUCUCGCCAGACUCUGUCACUGAAUAUGGGAGCUGGCUGGCUGGGUUUAGAAACCCCAUGAAACCAAGCCCCAGUUAGGGUGACCAGAUGUCUUGAUUUUUAUAGGGACAAUCUCAGUAUUUGGGGCUUUGUCUUAUAUAGGCACCUAUUACCCCCCACACCCGUCCUGGUUUUUCACAUUGGCUAGCUGGUCACCCUAACCCCAAUGUGGCUGCAGCGACGUGAACCGAUUGGCCAGGUGCACAAGCAAAACAGUCGGCCACAUGGGGGGCCCCGCCUCAUCCCAUGCAAAUUUCCAGUCAUGAAGCAGACCUCUUUCCCUUGCUGGAAGCAGGGCACAGUGUAUGUGGGGCAGGGGGGUGGAAUCCCUGGCUCAAUGCUUCUCCACACCACACGCCCCUUCCCGGCUCGCAGCUCAGGGGGUGUCUACACUGCAGCUGGAGUGUCCUUCCCAGCGCGGGGUGGAGAUGGACACACGCUAGCUCUGCCUGAGCUCGUACGCUAAAAAUAGUUGUGCGGCUGCGGCAGCACAUGCGGCAGCUCGGGCUGCUUGGCCAAGUCCGCACCGGAGGCGGGUUUGUUCUCGGGUGACUAGCCUGAGCCGCACCUGGGUGCUGCAGCCACACUGCUAUGUUUAGUGCGCUAGCUCCAGCAGAGCCGACGAGUGUGUCUACCCGCGCCGGGAAGCACCCCUCCGGCUGCAAUGUAGACACACCAUUACAGCCCCACUGACCAUAGGACUGGCCUCGGAAACCAUUCUGAUCUGCGGAUGAGCCACCUGCAUCCUAUUUAUUCUCUCAUCUCUGCCCCUGCUGGGCUUGGGAAGGUCAGGGCCGUCCCGGCGCCUCAGUUUCCCCAUCUGUAAAAUGGGGAUACUGAGCUCCUCUGUAAAGUGCUUGGAGAGCGACUGAUGAAAAGCACUACGUACGGGCCAGGUAUUAUUAAUGUAGUGCAGUGGUUUUCAGCCUGUGGUCUGUGGCCCUCUGGGGGUUUGCAGACUAUGUCUAAGCUUUCCAAAAGGGUCCACACCGCCAUUCAAAAAUUUUUAGGGGUCCCCAAAUGAAAACAGGUUGAAAACUACUGUUGUAGUGUAAUGGCUUUGUUGGCCUAACAUUGGGCUUGCCGCAUUGCUUGUGAACAGCAAAGUCAUGACUGAGCUAUGCAGGGCAUCCUACAUGAGUGCCAGGAAAAACAAAGCCUUUAGCCUACGCCAUAAGGUAUUCUCUUUGUCACAGCAGAACUAUUUUAGAAAUGUUUUAGCAUGGCUUAAAAUCAUUGCCUGGUCCCAUUUUCUGUCUGCACCUGCAAAGCCAGGAUCCUUGGAGGCUGUGAGCCCAAUUGUACACGGCUCAGAACUACUUUUAUUCUAAUCAUUUCCAGAAACCUGUUAUAUUAUCUGCCAUAACUCUUCUGGAAUGCAUCAGUGUUAGGGUUUGCGUGUAUCACAGGGUGGGGAUGUGUGUGUGUGUAUAUAUAUAUGUGUAUAUAUAUAUAUAUACACACACCCACACAAACUCACAUUGACUUCAAUGAAAGUUAGGCUCCUAAAUACCUUUGAGGAUCUAGGCUUACAAUCCCUGCAAAGGCAGGAUACUGCCGCUGUUAAAGGACAUCACAGAUUUAAACUGGUAUUAGCCAAAUUACAUAAACACACUGAGCCAAUUUUUCUUCCCUUUACCUCUUUUAUGAUGUGAGGCUGCUCAGAUAUAUACACGGGUUUAGUUAGGACACUGAAAAUGGAAUGUGCUUAAAUAUUUAUUUGUAAAUGGAAGAAAAGUCAAAUGCAGGGUUAUGAAGCGGAAGGCCUAGAAUGUCAUUGGCAGACAACUAAUAAUUUUGUAUUGUAUAGCAGUGAUUCCACCCGCAUAUCCGAUUAUUGUUUCUGUCACGCUCUUUAAUAGCUGUAAGGUGCUCUAUAAGCACUGACUUGCCGUGGUAGUGGGGCCCUGAUCCUUCAAUAAACAAUCAUUGUGUUUCAAAAAGUAGUUUUUGUCCCUACUUGAAAUGUAAUCUGCGCUCAGCAGAGAGCCAAAGUUCCUGGGUACUUCUCUUCCCUAGGUUACUGGUGAACCGCUCAUCUAAACAGAUAGAGCUUGGUGUGGACACAGGAAAAGAGGCCUGACGGCUAGCCAGGCUGAUCUGGGCAGACGCGCUGACACCAACUCUCGAAACUUACUUGCUACAUGGAAGUUUUUUUUUUUCCUGAUUACAAAAAUAUAUAGCACCUUGUCUGUAUCUCAGAGCACUGGACCAAACUGAGCCAGGACCAGGACUCCUCUCCAUUAGUUCUAUGUAGAUAUGGAGCCUAAUUCAGCUAAGCUGCUAGUUCUCUGUGUAUGUGUUGAUUCUGGCUGGAUUUGAAAGGGCUAAAAUCUGCCCCAUGGCAGCUGCUGAACAAAUUGCCAGGCCUUUUCCCCUGGCACUUGUGGAGGACUGUCGGGGAAGCGCAGAUCCCCUUGAAAUGAACCUAGCGCUAAGGCCUCAGACCAUCUCAUUUCACGGCUGAGAGCCCUGUGACCCCUUUUCAUAGCCGCAAAAAUCCCUGCCCUUUGUUAGAGGCUGUCUCUCUGACCAUCUGAUGCCACAACAGUAGAGAUCACCUGAGCCUGAUAUUUUGCCACCUUCAUGGCCAAGCCAAAGGACCAAGCCUGCGUAGAGGAAACUGAUGUUAUUAAAAUUGGCCCUGUUCAAUUAUCAAACCGAUAAGGGAUCGGUGCAAUAGGACGCUGUAGGGUCAGUGCUGGGAGGAGUCGAUGGCAAAAAUCAGGACUGGCUAUCUGGGUACAACCCUGCAUCUUCCUGGCUGUUCCGGAGGGAGCCAAACACUGAAGUGACUAGCAGCCAAGCAGGGAGAUGCUGUGUUCACACCUACUAGAGGCAACAGGCUCCUCGUUUGGCACUGUACCAACAACAGGGGCUGCCAGUUUAACUAAGGAGGUGGACAGGCUGGUCUUGCCCACUUCAGAGUGGCUUGUCUGUUCUCUUUUCCAUCCGGAGUGGUGAAGGAGCUGAGCCAGGCUGCUCACCUGGCCCGCAGCACCCACCAGAGCUUGCACUAGGCAUCACUUUGCACUUUGCAGUGCACACGUACCCCUGUCCCACGCAUGUCGGGCUUGCUCUCACUUUGGUUACUGUGCCUUAGUUUUAUCGGGCUGCAGUAUCGGGGGCAAAAGCUAAAGGCAAGGGGUUACAUUCAUCUCUGGUGGGACUGCGCUGAAGCCAAAGGAUUUACAUCGAGGGUAGAGAUGUGAAACAUGCCCUGACUGAAGGCGACAGACCAAGCUUCACCGAGGCCUGCGCUUUGCCUGGGGCCCGUGCCAGGAAGAGGAGCACAGAGAGGGAAGCACCUACGGGGACCAUUGUGGUCAUCUUGUCUGAUUUCCAGAGCAACGCAGGCUUUAGAAUUUCACCCAUGAUUCCUUCAUCAAACCCAUGACUUCUGGUUGAGCUAGAGCAUUUCUUCUAGAAAGGCAUCCUGUCUUGAUGUAAAGGCUUCCAGUGACGGAGAGUCCAACACAUCCGUAAUCUGAAGAAAGAGAGAUCCUGUGCCGCGAGCCAAGAAAAAUACAGAAGACACGAGACCUGGGCCAGAUUGUUUCCUAGUGAGAAUGUGCUCCAGCAGGCGUGGAAGGAUGCAACGCUGAGCGUCCUUCACUCCCACUGAAGACGACGUGGACUGAGGACGCUAAGAGCCUUGCAGGGUCCGGCUGAAUCUGGCAAUGGCCCCAACACCUUCUAGGAAGGGAAGGCCGGAGGAGGAGAACAGUCUGGAGAUUAAGGCAUGAGCUGGAAAUUGGCUUCUAUUCUUGCUCUGCCAAAGACUUCCUGAAAGAUCUUGCUACACUGCAGUGAUCAGAGUCUAUAGCAAAACUCCAGCUGAACUCCCAGGGAGCAGGAACAGGCCCUGAACCGCUACAUGCCAGCUGUAAAAUGAGAUGAAAGAUACUUUCCUGUUUUCCCGGGACCACAGGUGCUGACUUUUGUUUUUGCCGGGCCUGUUCCGAGGAUGACUGUAGCCGAAGAAGGACUCCCACUGAUUUCAGCGAGCUUUGAGGCAGGCCUUGAAUACUUAUCAGGAUGUAAAAAGCCAAAAUGAAACCCGGGGUUACAAUGACCUCAGGCAAGGGACAAGCGACAGGAGCAGAUCAGCUCUUCAAGACGCUAAUAGCAUCAGUGCCUUUGAGAGGAGAGGCAACUACAUGAUCUACGGCAGAAGCAGCAUACAUCCCACGAAGCUUCAGUUGCAGUUUGAGCUUUUUGCUGAUGAGUUACUGCAGAAAACCCAGCAUCCCACACAGCUGUACUUCAGGCUGACCGCUAAUGAAAAUUUUUAGUCCAGUUGGCACACUCGGGCUGAGGGCCACUGCAGAUGGCAUCGGGUUUCUUUAACCUACUCAGAGCUUGAAAAAUGUGUCCUUGAUUUCAGUCCCCAGGAACGUAGGCCUGGACUUCUUUGCCGUCUAAUGGAUCUUUUAUUUGAUCUGCUCGUCCAAACACGCUGGGCAUGUGCUUGGGUCACUUAGGGAAAGCUGAACCCCGCUCAUGUUCUCACAGGGUAAUCCCUUCAUGCUGAUGUCUAUAUUGCAGCAGGUAACAAAAUCCAUGCAGAUUCAUGCCAGCAGCUGACCGUCCCACACAAGCCCGGUUCAACUGUGGCAGCCCGUGGGCCAAGCUUCUGCCUAAUGGGAAGUGAAGUGGUGGAGAUAUUAAUCCCAGGAAAAAAGGACUUUCUAGUGAAAACCCUUGGGGACCCUUCAAUCAAGGGAGUGACUGCAUUUUAGGUGUGGUCUCUGAGCCAGCUGGAUAAACUACCGGUGGCAGCCUCAGGAAGCAGUUCUAUGCUGGAGCAUGGAAGAGGGCUUAGCACCCAUUCCACCUGAACACCAGCAUUGGCUCUACUUGGAAACUCCCCACGAGGACACCAGAGGAGAGAGAAAACCGGCCUCCAAAGAUGCCAGAAGUGGAUAAGAGGCAACUGGUCCUUCCCUGCAAGAAGACAACACCAGAGCAAUGAUACUUUGAACUUCUUUCAUCCAACGAUCUCCAAGUGAUUUUCAGAUAUUCAUUAGAUAAGCUUCACGUCCACCCCAGAGGUGGGGCUUUAAGAAAAAGAGCAAAUAUCAUAUGCUCAAGAAAAAAUUGCGAGACCCGAGAGCACUACAUUUAGGCACAACAAGUGGCUAAAGUUUCAAAAAGGCUCAACACGACCAUGGCACAGAUUUCAGGUGGCCAGAAAUGCUGCUCGGCACCAUGUGCACGUUCAGAGCCCCGGGCGCAGCUCCGCCUGGCUGAGCGAGCAGGGCACUUGCACAGCUGUACGACUUCAGACAUUCCUGGUGAUUCUGCAAAGUUUGAAGAUUCGUGGAGACCCGCUUUCCGCAGAGACCCUCCGAAGCACUAACACACAAAUACCUCCCAAGGAAGUAACAGAAGAAGAAAAUGUAUUUCCACAACAGGCAGUCAAAGCAGGAGGAAUAAACGUCCUCCCAGAGCAGCCGACAGCUAAGGCCGUCAUGUUUUUCCAAGCAGGACCACUCUGGGAAGCAGUACUUCUGCGAACGGAGCAGGCAGACAACACAGCUGCAUGCAGAUCUGAUAUUUCUGCUCUUGGAACAAGGUUAAGGAGCAGAACCCAAAAGACUGAAAUUCCAUUCACAGGGCGAAAAGCAACCUUCUACUUUCUGCCAGAGUGAUUUGACUCAUCAUCUAUUGGACCAAAUCCUCUGCUGGGGUAAAUAGGCAAUGUCUGUUCGACUUGUGCCAGGGUCAGAAAAGAGAGGGUCGUUGGAAGGUUCCUUUUUCAUGCCAAGCAGCCUUUUGGGUUUGCACCGACACCUGCUUCCAUUCUGCCUCGUUGGACUGGCGUGUUGGAGACGGGGUUUGGGUUUUUCCCAGAAUGAAAACUAGACCGCGGAGGAACAGACACUAAACAAGAGUAGUUACUGAAGAAGAUCAGCUUCUACACAGAGACAGCCAGCCUGGUCUGGAACUGUCAUGCAAGCAAGUUGUCUUCUUUAAGUAAAACUCAUUAAUGUCAAUGAGUCUGGUAGCGAGUAAGUUAUUACUCAUGCGAGUAAAUGUUGGAUAAAUUGAUACAGACACUGUGCUACGGUGAUGGGCAUCUUAUAAAUGCAUGUAAUAAUAAGGCUCAAUCCUGCUGUCUGCAGGCAGAUGGACCCCCUGUUCCCAUCUGGAGUCCCACAGAAGUCAGUAGUCAGAAGUCUGUCCAGGUGCAGGGCUCUGUCCAUGUGCAGCAAGUAGCAGGAUCAGGGCCAUAUGUGUGUAUAUAGAGAGAGUGAGAAGGUGGGUGAAGUAAUAGCUUUUAUGGGACCAAGUUCAGCUGGCAAAAGAGACAAGCUUUCAAGGCGACCCAGAACACUUCUUACACCGACUCCUACAUGUGAAGACAGAGUGGCGUGCACUUACGUCAGACAACACUGAUUCAAACAUAUUUCUGCUGCAAUCGAGCUGAUAAAUGCCACGACUCUUUAAAAGGUCUGGAGCGGCACAAUAUACAGCUGACAUACUUAGCGCUAAUUAUUAUAUAUUGUGUUCUACCAGUGAGUUUAACUGGUACCAGGAUGUGGCCAGUUGUGUGAGUUUAAAUAGAUUUUAUAGAAUUACACACAGCCUCAUCCGACAAACAGUGGCGGAUUAAUGAUUUUGCCGCCCCGUAGGCCCAGAAAUAAUUGCCGCCCCCCCGCCAGCAGCUCCCCGCCCCAGCUCACCUCCGCUCCGCCUCCUCCCCUGAGCACGCUGCCGGGUCUUGCUUUUCCCCACUCCCUGCCAGUGCUUAUGCACGAAACAGCUUCGCGAAGGAGGGGGGAACACGGCGCGCUCAGGAG